GCCCUGCCAUUUUUAUCUUUGGCUGUUUGUGCAGCAGCUCCUAACUUCUGCUGACCUGUAGAACCCGAAUAGUCCAAUGAGCUCAAAAGUUUUAUAAUCACUGAACUCAAAAGUAACAAACAAGUUGAGUUAGCUUAAAACCUAUAAGCCGAUUCAACUUUUGCCACAGUUAUAUGUUUAUUGGACUAAAACAUUUUGAGUAAAUGAAACCUUGGAGUCAAAACUUAUGAGUAAUGAGACGUGAUGACGUCAUAACGUACGCCCAUGAACGUGAACUCAGCCGCAGAAGUCUUCAAGAUGGCGGAGGUCUGAUGCGAGUGUCAGCUGGCCCAAGUUGAUAACGCACAUACGUCUAGUGAACCGGCGGUGCGUUUGAAAAAUAAGAGCGGAGAUGUGAGCUGAGUUUCAUCGCAUCACAAAUGUCAAACUGUUAAAACAGUUUUAUUUUGACCUGGACAGACAGACGCAGAGGAUGCUGAUCUUUUUGAGACAGAAGGCAGCACGAACCGGAAGGCUCUAUGCGACUUUCUGCACCUCUAUGAUAAACAGCAAGAGCAGACUGCUGAUGUCAAAGGUACUCCUGUCCUGCACUGGCUUCCCAUAUACAAACGUGAGGAGGACCCACAGUUCUUCAAAGUUUGGAAUAUUAAAGAGUCACCAGAGGCAGACAUCAGCAUCACCUCUGUUGGCAUUCUGACCGUCAGCAACAACAACACAAGUUCAGUGCAUUUCUGUCCGCUCAGUACAGCAGUUGUGGUGGAAGAUGAGCUUGUGGUAGGCAAAUUUCCUAAAUGGGUAUUUUUUUGAGCGCUAAUGUUUAUAGGGAAAGGGCAGCCUAAGAAAAUACUGUUUUAUGUGGGAAAAGUAUAAAAAGAAAAGGCUGAUAAACAAUUUUUGCUUUUCUUGAAAUGUAAGAAUGCUCUUUUUUUAUGAAGUUGUAUAAGGAAAUGGUGUAAAAAAGAUUAGUGCUCAUUUUUUGCUUUUCUUGAAGACUGAUUUAUUUAUUUUUUAUGGCUUGUGCACUUUUUCUUAACACAAAUUGUGCAGUGUUUUACCUUUUUGUAGUACCACAAGUUGUUCAAAUGUACUUGUGUAAGGUGGUUUAAAAAUAAACUUGCAAUUACAA